rnacentral:rRNA from 1 species
GAUGAACGCUGGCGGUGUGCUUAACACAUGCAAGUCGAACGGAAACGCCGUGCUUUUUUGCGGUGCUCGAGUGGCGAAGGGGGGAGCAAGCCGUGAGUAACCGGCACUCAAUUUUGGGGUAACCUCAGGACAGUGGUGCUAAUAGCGGAUAGGAGAAUCGCCUGAAGGGUAGGGGGCGGAUAGUUAGGGCGGUUGGGGGUGGAAUCGCGGCUUAUCAGCCUGUUGGUGGGGGAGUUGCGUACCAAGGCAUCCACGGUUAGCCGGCCUGAGGGGGUGACCGGCCACAAUGGGACUAAGGUACGGCCCAGACUCCUACGGGAGGCAGCAGUGGGGAGUAUUGCACAGUGAGCGGAAGCCUGAUGAAGCAGCGCCGCGUGCGGAAUGAAGGCCUUCGGGUUGUAAACCGCUUUCGCCUGUAACGAAGCGUGAGUGACGGUAAUGGGUGAAGAAGCACCGGCUAACUACGUG